rnacentral:rRNA from 1 species
CGAGUCGUGCGUCUCUAGGCUAUGGUAGAGACGCGGCAUACGGCUCAGUAACACGUGGCUAACCUACCCUUGGGACGGAGACACCCCCGGGAAACCACGCACAGGCACGUAAUCAGCCUUCUCGAUACGCUCAAAGCAUAGCUAUGCGCACAUAGUUCAUGUACAACCCGCUUUCCUUAACGGAAAAACCAACCUGAGAAGCUUUGAGUCAACAAUUCACGGUAACACAUCACCGCCAACAGAAACAAACAGAAGCUCUGGCGUGGCCCAAAACUGGGGUUAAUACCCGAUGGGUGAAGAGGCCUGGAAUGGUUCUCCACCGAAAAGACGUUGAAACCACGCUUUUCAACGUUGCCCAAGGAUGGGGCCGCGUCCGAUCAGGUUGUUGGUGGGGUAACGGCUCACCAAGCCUAUAGCCGGUACGGGCCGUGAGAGCGGGAGCCCGGAGAUGGGCACUGAGACAAGGGCCCAGGCCCUACGGGGCGCAGCAGUCGCGAAAACUCCGCAAUGCGCGAAAGCGUGACGGGGCUACCCCGAGUGUCGUCCGCUGAGGAUGACUUUUCCCCGGUGUAAGGAGCCGGGGGAAUAAGGAGAGGGCAAGCCUGGUGUCAGCCGCCGCGGUAAUACCAGCUCUCCGAGUGGUAGGGAUGAUUAUUGGGCUUAAAGCGUCCGUAGCCGGCCCGGCAAGUCUCCCGUUAAAUCCAGCGACCCAAUCGUUGGG